rnacentral:rRNA from 1 species
GCGUGCGUGAAGAAGGCCCUAGGGUUGUAAAGCGCUUUCACCGAUGAAGAUGAUGACGGUAAUCGGAGAAGAAGCACCGGCUAACUUCGUGCCAGCAGCCGCGGUAAUACGAAGGGUGCAAGCGUUGUUCGGAAUUACUGGGCGUAAAGGGCGUGUAGGCGGCUCGAUUAGUUAGAUGUGAAAGCCCAGGGCUUAACCUUGGAACUGCAUUUAAUACUGUCGAGCUAGAAUCCAGGAGGGGACAGUGGAAUUCCGAGUGUAGAGGUGAAAUUCGU